GACGAACGCUGGCGGCGUGCUUAACACAUGCAAGUCGAACGGAAAGGCCCUGCUUUUGUGGGGUGCUCGAGUGGCGAACGGGUGAGUAACACGUGAGUAACCUGCCCUUGACUUUGGGAUAACUUCAGGAAACUGGGGCUAAUACCGGAUAGGAGCUCCUGCUGCAUGGUGGGGGUUGGAAAGUUUCGGCGGUUGGGGAUGGACUCGCGGCUUAUCAGCUUGUUGGUGGGGUAGUGGCUUACCAAGGCUUUGACGGGUAGCCGGCCUGAGAGGGUUACCGGACACAUUGGGACUGAGAUACGGCCCAGACUCCUACGGGAGGCAGCAGUGGGGAAUAUUGCACAAUGGGCGGAAGCCUGAUGCAGCAACGCCGCGUGCGGGAUGACGGCCUUCGGGUUGUAAACCGCUUUCGCCUGUGACGAAGCGUGAGUGACGGUAAUGGGUAAAGAAGCACCGGCUAACUACGUG
rnacentral:rRNA from 1 species